rnacentral:rRNA from 1 species
AUUGAACGCUGGCGGCAGGCCUAACACAUGCAAGUCGAACGAGUGGCGGACGGGUGAGUAACGUCUGGGAAACUGCCUGAUGGGGGGGGAUAACCACUGGAAAAGGUCGCUAAUACCGCAUUCUAUAAGAUGUGCCUAGAUGGGAUUAGCGGGUUGGUGGGGUAACGGCUCACAAAGGCGACGAUCGCUAGCUGGUCUGAGAGGAUGACCAGCCCCACUGGAACGGGGCCCCGGUCCAGAUUCCUACGGGGGGCAGCGGUGGGGAACAUUGCACAAUGAGGGAAGUCCUGAUGCGGCAAGGCGGCGGGGAUGAGGAAGGCUUCGGGGUGUUAAACUACUUUCAUCGGGGAGGCGUUACCCGCAUAAGAAGCCCCGGCUAACUCCGUGCCAGCAGCCGCGGUAAUAC